GACGAACGCUGGCGGCGUGCCUAAAGCAUGCAAGUCGAGCGAGGUCCAACCCUCCGCAAGGAGGGGGAAGACCUAGCGGCGAACGGGUGAGUAACACGUGAGCAACCUGCCCCGAAGACCGGGAUAACACCGGGAAGCCGGUGCUAAUACCGGAUACCCUCAUCGGACCGCAUGAUCCGGUGAGGAAAUGGAUUCCGCUUCGGGAGGGGCUCGCGGCCUAUCAGCUUGUUGGUGGGGUAACGGCCCACCAAGGCUCCGACGGGUAGCUGGUCUGAGAGGACGAUCAGCCACACUGGGACUGAGACACGGCCCAGACUCCUACGGGAGGCAGCAGCUAGGAAUCUUGCGCAAUGGGCGAAAGCCUGACGCAGCAACGCCGCGUGGGGGAUGAAGGCUCUCGGGUUGUAAACCCCUUUCAGCAGGGACGAUUGUGACGGUACCUGCAGAAGAAGCCCCGGCCAACUACGUGCCAGCAGCCGCGGUAACACGUAGGGGGCGAGCGUGUCCGGAUUUAGUUGG
rnacentral:rRNA from 1 species